CCCAAGUGCCAUAACAGCCUGAGGAUGCCCCAGCCUAGAAGCUAAGCAGGGUUGUGCCUCAGAUGUGCUUUAAUGGGGGAGUGCUUGGGA
rnacentral:rRNA from 1 species